UACGGGGGGGGCGAGCGUUGUUCGGAAUUACUGGGCGUAAAGGGUUUGUAGGUGGCCUGCUAAGUCAGACGUGAAAUCCCUCAGCUUAACUGGGGAACUGCGUCGGAUACUGGCAGACUCGAGUACCGGAGAGGAAGGUGGAAUUCCCGGUGUAGCGGUGAAAUGCGCAGAUAUCAGGAGGAACACCAAUUGCGAAGGCAGCUCGCUGGGACGUAACUGACGCUGAGACGCGAAAGCGUGGGGAGCAAACAGG
rnacentral:rRNA from 1 species